rnacentral:rRNA from 1 species
UACGUAGGGGGGCUAGCGUUGUCCGGAAUCAUUGGGCGUAAAGCGCGUGUAGGCGGCCCGGUAAGUCCGCUGUGAAAGUCGGGGGCUCAACCCUCGGAUGCCGGUGGAUACUGUCGGGCUAGAGUACGGAAGAGGCGAGUGGAAUUCCUGGUGUAGCGGGUGAAAUGCGCAGAUAUCAAGGAGGAACACCGGUGGCGAAGGCGGGUCUCUGGGCCGAUGACUGACGCUGGAGGAGCGAAAGCGUGGGAGCGAACAGG